UACAGAGGUCUCAAGCGUUGUUCGGAAUUACUGGGCGUAAAGGGUGCGCAGGCCGCGCGGGCAGUCAAAUGUGUAAUUCAGGGGCUCAACCCCUGCACUGCGCUUGAUACUUCCGCGCUCGAGCUUUGGAGAGGAGUCUGGAAUUCUCGGUGUAGCAGUGAAAUGCGUGGAUAUCGAGAAGAACACUUAAGGCGUAGGCAAGACUCUGGACAAAUGCUGACGCUCAUGCACGAAGGCUAGGGUAGCGAACGGG
rnacentral:rRNA from 1 species